AGGUAGUGAGAUCUCACAAUGAUUGCUUACAGUCAAUUACUGGUAGACCUAUUUGUCUACCCUCCCUCACUGCUGCAC
rnacentral:sRNA from 1 species